ACUCUGGGUCACCUCCCACCCGUGUUUAUUCUACCUUGUUGCUUCGGCGGGCCCGCCUCACGGCCGCCGGGGGGCAUCCGCCCCCGGGCCCGCGCCCGCCGAAGACACCAUUGAACUCUGUCUGAAGAUUGCAGUCUGAGCAGAUUAGCUAAAUCAGUUAAAACUUUCAACAACGGAUCUCUUGGUUCCGGCAUCGAUGAAGAACGCAGCGAAAUGCGAUAAGUAAUGUGAAUUGCAGAAUUCAGUGAAUCAUCGAGUCUUUGAACGCACAUUGCGCCCCCUGGUAUUCCGGGGGGCAUGCCUGUCCGAGCGUCAUUGCUGCCCUCAAGCACGGCUUGUGUGUUGGGCUUCGCCCCCCGGCUCCCGGGGGGCGGGCCCGAAAGGCAGCGGCGGCACCGCGUCCGGUCCUCGAGCGUAUGGGGCUUCGUCACCCGCUCUGUAGGCCCGGCCGGCGCCCGCCGGCGACCCCAAUCAAUCUUUUCAGGUUGACCUCGGAUCAGGUAGGGAUACCCGCUGAACUUAAGCAUAUCAAUAAGCGGAGGAA
rnacentral:rRNA from 1 species